rnacentral:rRNA from 1 species
AGCAGUCGCCACGGGAAUACGGAGGGAGCUAGCGUUGUUCGGAAUUACUGGGCGUAAAGCGCGCGUAGGCGGUUACUCAAGUCAGAGGUGAAAGCCCGGGGCUCAACCCCGGAACUGCCUUUGAAACUAGGUGACUAGAAUCUUGGAGAGGUCAGUGGAAUUCCGAGUGUAGAGGUGAAAUUCGUAGAUAUUCGGAAGAACACCAGUGGCGAAGGCGACUGACUGGACAAGUAUUGACGCUGAGGUGCGAAAGCGUGGGGAGCAAACAGGAUUAGAUACCCCUGUAGUCCCUGUCUCUUAUAA